UGCGCAGUCGCUGGCAAAGGUUUUUCGGUGUUUCGAUGUAGCCCACACCUACUCGCCUCUCCUACGACGCUCCUCUUUGAUCGCUGAAGCUCCGCGCAAACGUCGUCGGCGUCGUGCAGAGAACCAACCAGUCUCGCUGAGCGAUCCGAUUUUGUCAUCGCUGUAGCGACGCGAACACAGUACGAGAAGGUAUAGCUGUCGCGAUGGCACCCAAGGCUAAGCCCGAUCGAAUGGCGGGAGGCCCCUCUUCUGCCUCGAAAAGCGCCACAGACCCCAUGUUGCAGGGCACCUAUGAGCAAGACGAGUCGAACGACUUGGAGGCGUCGACAGACGAAAUCGCUGCCUUUGAGGCGCGUCUUCGGCAUCAGCAGCAGCAUGGUCGGGGCAACUCUGCAGCGGCACGGAACAUAUCGAGUGCCCCCACGUCAGGUGCUCCGCGACGCUCGUCAGCACCGGUGACCAAUAGUGCUCAUCGGCCGCAUCCGUCCUCGAGUGCCGCCCCGUCGGCGGCCGCCGGCGCAUCGUAUGCCGCCCCGCACCGCACCGCCGACCGUGGCGCGUCGGAGGAGGAUCACGCAGCGCAGACACAGCGUGGCGAGGACAUCGAGGAUGUGCGUCGUCUCGAGGACCGCUUCCGCGGUGGCGAUGACGACGAUAGCGAUGAGGAGACGGUUGCACGCCGGCGCAAGAUGGGGCUGUGAGGCGGCAAAUGAAGAGACGAAAAGGCGAAGAGAAGAGCACUCCGCACCGUUCGGCAGUGUGCUCCACAACGUUUUGCAUCUUUUCCCUCUCUGCCAGCUAACUGAGACGGCGCCAGUCUGGCGCUGCGGCCAGGGGGAAGGCGGAGGAGGAGGGACAGUGGUUGGGAAAGCAAAAGGAGUUCUGGACAUGCGCGGUGUUGUCUUGGUACUGACGACGCCGGCACCCCUCACGUAUACCUCUACCUUCUCGCGCCACGCAAAAAUGUACAUAUCUGCCCCCGCUCAUUGGCCCCCUCGUGGCUUCUGCGCCGUGAGGCGAAGCGCGGCUUUCUAUUCCUACUGUUUUGUCUGCCCCUGUGGCGCUCGCGCAGGCGUGGCCAGCGCAAGUGUGGCAGCUUAAGUGGAACGAGACGGAACGUCGAUUCGGGAGAACGAGUAGCCUCAAACGCCUGCAUAGACAACUGCAGAUUUGCGUGUACGUGCGAUGAGGGAUCUUUGUGUGGCCCACGGAGGUGUUCUUCACGGAUGAUGGUGCGGGCGCCUCUGCCCGCGUUUUCUCUUAUUUUUUUUGUCGUUUUUCCUUCGCAACCUGGCGGCGCGAACUACCCGCCCUGCACUC
rnacentral:misc_RNA from 1 species